rfam:Jatropha curcas cultivar GZQX0401 scaffold328_98, whole genome shotgun sequence.
AGCAAAAUGAUGAGUUAUUUUAUAUCUGAAUUUAAAUGUGGAAUUUAUUUUCCUUCAAAGUUCUCUGAUUGCU